rnacentral:rRNA from 1 species
AGGUGCUCGCAUGGCUGUCGUCAGCUCGUGUUCGUGAGAUGUUGGGUAAGUCCCGCAACGAGCGCAACCCUCGUCCUUAGUUGCCAUCAUUUAGUUGGGCACUUUAAGGAAACUGCCGGUGAUAAGCCGGAGGAAGGUGGGGAUGACGUCAAGUCCUCAUGGCCCUUACAGGCUGGGCUACACACGUGCUACAAUGGCAUCUACAGUGAGCAGCGAUCCCGCGAGGGUUAGCUAAUCUCCAAAAGAUGUCUCAGUUCGGAUUGUUCUCUGCAACUCGAGAGCAUGAAGGCGGAAUCGCUAGUAAUCGCGGAUCAGCAUGCCGCGGUG